rfam:Schistosoma rodhaini strain Burundi genome assembly, scaffold: SROB_scaffold0002480
AUCCAGCUGAUUAGUCCCAAAUAGAACGAAACACGUGUCCUAGAC